UGUGGCAACGUGGUCAGCCGGGAGCCACUCUGCCGACCUAGGAUGGUGUAGAUCAUCCGGGUCGAAGAGUGGGACAUCCGAAGGAUCCACAAGGGUGGACCCCGCAUCCGCGGGGUUCCUGAUCCCUAUCUCGCCUCCGGGCAUCUCUGCCUGAGCAGAGGAAAGGAGGUCAAGACCAGCAUCAGCGGCAUCCGCAUCAGUAUCCGACUCGCUCUUAGCCUCCUCAUUUGACCUGAUUUCUGAGUCGGUGUCGCUCUCCAUCUGUGCUCUGGCACAUUUCCAUAGCCGCGCCCGUUCUGCCUGGCGCGGAAAGGCUCUCUUGCGUGGAUGGGACACGUUUCUGGGGCGACCGAAGGUAUGCUAGUCAUGGUGUUUCUGGAGGCAGA